rnacentral:lncRNA from 1 species
GUUCGGAUCAGUUGGUUGUGGUUUUGUGUAGAAUUGAUAUGGCUAGAUCCAGUAGGAAUGAUGCGGCGAUCGCGGAUGCUUUGACUGUGAUGACACAUGUUUUGGCGCAGGCCAAUGAGUAGGUGGUGCAGGGUUAACAACACUAGGGAGGAGUGGAAGAGUUGAGGUUGGACAGUUUCAUGAGAAACCAUCCUCCGAUGUUUAUGGUACAAUAUGAUCCUGAGGGAGCGCAAACUUGGUUGUAGGGCAUUGAGCGUAUCUUUAGAGCUAUGGUGACUACUGACAACCAGAAGGUGAGGUUAGCCACGCACAUGCUGGAAGAGGAAGCUAAGUUUUGGUGGAUGAAUUCUAAGGGGAGAAUGGAAGCUGGUGUUGUUGUUGUGUCUUGGGAAAAGUUUAAGGAGGAGUUCUUGAAGAAGUAUUUUCCAGCUGACAUAAAGAGCAAGAAGGAAGUAGAGUUCUUACAUCUUAAGCAUGGGAGUAUGUCUGUUGCGAAGUAUGCGGCGAAAUUUGAGGAGUUGUCUCGAUUUUGUCCAUACAUCAAUGCGAAAGAUGCAGAGGAAUCAAAGUGCAUUAAGUGUGAGAGAGGUCUAUGCCUGAAGAUUUAUCAAUAUGUUGGCUUUCACGAGAUUCGAGACUUUGAUACCUUGGUGAACAACUGUCGGAUCUUUGAUGAGGCGGGUAAGACAAAGGCAAGUUUCUACAAGAUGGUGAAUGAUCGGAAAGGAAAAGGGCAUGAUUGUGGCAAACCAUAUUGUAAGGACAAUGGAACGAAGAAGGAUUUUUCUGGUGGUUCUAAGCCAAGUGGGGGAGACUUGAAGUACUUCAGAUGUGGAGGAUCAGGACAUUAUGCUAAUGAUUGCAAGAAUCCUACAGUAAACUGUUAUAAGUGUGGAAAGACCGGACAUCAUGCUUAUGAAUGCAAAAGCAAGGAGAUUGUGUGCUACAAAUGUUAAGAUGUUGGACAUAUUAGUACCAAGUGUACCAAUCCCAAGAAGGAUAAGGCGGGAGGUAAAGUCUUUGCAUCGAAUGUCGAGGAGGCACCGGAGUCGGACAACCUGAUUAGAGGUUUUUGCUUUAUUAACAGUACUCCUUUGACUGUAAUUAUUGAUAUGGGUGAGACACAUUUUUUUAUUUCUCUUGGUUGCACAGAACGUUUGAAUCUUGUUAUGUCUCCUAUGUCAAGAGGAAUGGUAAUUGAUACCCCG